ensembl:snRNA U4 U4 spliceosomal RNA
AGCUUUGCACAGUGGCAGUAUUGUAGCCAAAUGAGGUUUAUUUAAGGUGUGAUUAUUGCUAAUUAAAAACUCUCCCCAAAUUUCAAUAUCUGUUAAUACUUGGACUUCCAAAAUUAAA